rnacentral:rRNA from 1 species
CGCUGGCGGCAUGCCUUACACAUGCAAGUCGAACGGCAGCACGGAGCUUGCUCUGGUGGCGAGUGGCGAACGGGUGAGUAAUAUAUCGGAACGUACCCUAGAGUGGGGGGAUAACGUAGCGAAGUUACGCUAAUACCGCAUACGAUCUAAGGAUGAAAGUGGGGGAUCGCAAGACCUCAUGCUCGUGGGAGCGGCCGAUAUCUGAUUAGCUAGUUGGUAGGGGUAAAAAGCCUACCAAGGCAUCGAUCAGUAGCUGGUCUGAGAGGACGACCAGCCACACUGGAACUGAGACACGGUCCAGACUCCUACGGGAGGCAGCAGUGGGGAAUUUUGGACAAUGGGCGAAAGCCUGAUCCAGCAAUGCCGCGUGAGUGAAGAAGGCCUUCGGGUUGUAAAGCUCUUUUGUCAGGGAAGAAACGGUGAGAGCUAAUAUCUCUUGCUAAUGACGGUACCUGAAGAAUAAGCACCGGGCUAACUACGUGCCAGCAGCCGCGGGUAAAUA